AACAACUGAUACAAUGAGGUAUAGAAUUUGUAGCUUAUACGUAUCUCUCACUCCCAAUCUUGUUCUCUGCUUCUAUCUACUUCUGUAUUUCUUCUUUCCUCUUUAUCUUUCAUGGAAAGUGAAGAGAAACUAGUAGUUUCUGCAGUGAAAAUCAUAUCUGAUGACCAGCUUCUUGAAGCAAAAGUUGAAGAACCCUAAGAGGAUGAAUGCAUGAGUUUUGUGGCAUUAAGGGUGUAAAGAUGCGAUGGGGAAUGAGGUUAGAGUUUUUAUAUGUUGACAGAAGAGAGAGAGCACAACCCGCCAUUGGCCAAAGGGAGUCUUUACCGUUGUUGGGAGUGUACUCUCUCUUCUUCUGUCAUCAUCUCUUACAUUCCCAUCUGUCAGCACCGUCGUCUGAUGUGCGUCAGUCUAACCUCAAAAUGAUUCUUGGAGCAGUGAUAAUAAGUUGAAGCAAGUAUAUGUCAGUUUUGUACAAAUUAUUAUUUUGUAAUAUUCAUGAGAAGAAGUUGAAGUGCUUUUAAAAAAUGACUGAAAUGUUUCUUUUAGAUUUUUUUUUAAGAAAUACUUUCGAGGAUUCACUUGUAUUUUUACAAAAAAAUUGGUUCCAAAAAUAUUUUCACCACAAGCGUUUUCUUUCUGUAUAUUUGCUUAAUUUUACAUUUUUUUAAUAUUAGAUCUUAUGUAUUUGUGACUUAUUUUGCAGCUCUUGAUCAAAUAUAUAAGGUUAGUUUAACUUAUUUCUGUCACAGUCAAUUGAUAAGCUACGGCAGUUUGCUGCUAAUUUGCAGGUCUUUUACAACAUUGCAAUGUUCUUACGGAAACUUGAUGUUGUAAACCGCUUAGCGAUUGAUACAGUUAUCUGCUUUGUUGUGAGGGAUACUUCUGAAGUUCCAUACACCUCGCUCAUCCUCGACGUGAAAUGGAACAGUAAAGGCCUGUUUGCAAAACAAAGAUCCGAAACCAGGAUCGGAGAGGGAGACCACAAAAAGGCAAUCGAGAAUUCACUGAUGUUGUGCAUAAUUCGAUUCCAGGGGAGAAGAAUGAAGUUGCAUAUUCUGGUUCAGCAUUUCUCCAAGCUUGCUGCCUUGAGUCUGGGCCUGGCAGACUACUUGACCGGCACGGAGUUCUUACUUGCAGAACGUUCUGGUUUGGCUUUGCCUAGUACACAGUUUUUAUCUGUACAUCAAAAGGGAGUUAAACUGGAAUAAUGUCACGAGUAAUUAGACGCAAGGAUCCGGUAAAUUUCAAAAUCUUGUGCUCAUAAGAACUCAUCCACUUUCUUAGUUCUGUAUGUGUACAGCAGUUCGAGUUCUUCCAUAACUGAUUGCACAUACUUUAUCUCCUUAA